rnacentral:RNase_P_RNA from 1 species
UGAGACCUCUUGAUGGCCGCGGCCGUGAUCUUCAUUGGGAUCGGCUGAGGAACUUCCGGGCUCCAUAGAGCACGAUGGCGGAUAACGUCCGCCCAGGGUGACCUGAGAGAUAGCGCAACAGAGAACAGACCGCCCGUCCUCGACGGGUAAGGGUGAAACGGCGGUGUAAGAGACCACCGGGCCUCUGGUAACAGUAGGUCGCAUGGCAAGCCUCAUCGGGAGCAAGGCCAAGCAGAUGGCGGUAAGGGCUGCUCGCCCGUGUCAUCGGGUAGGCUGCUAGAGCCUGGCGGUAACGUCAGGUCGAGAUGGAUGGCCAUCCGUGCCGUGCGUUCGCGCACGGCACGACAGAACCCGGGGUAUAAGAGGUCUCUUUUU